rnacentral:rRNA from 1 species
CUUCGGACAUUUUGCAAGGUGCUGCAUGGUUGUCGUCAGCUCGUGCCGUGAGGUGUCGGGUUAAGUCCCAUAACGAGCGCAACCCCUAUUGUUAGUUGCCAUCAGGUCAUGCUGGGGACUCUAACAAAACUGCCCGCGUAAGCGUGGAGGAAGGUGGGGAUGACGUCAAAUCAGCACGGCCCUUACGUCCAGGGCUACACACGUGCUACAAUGGCCGGUACAGAGGGCAGCCACUUGGUGACAAGGAGCAAAUCUCAAAAGCCGGUCUCAGUUCGGAUCGGAGUCUGCAACUCGACUCCGUGAAGUUGGAUUCGCUAGUAAUCGUAGAUCAGCAAUGCUACGGUGAAUACGUUCCCGGGCCUU